AAUCUCGCCUGCACUCUGGGAUAAGCCUGGGAAACUGGGUCUAAUACUGGAUAUGACCUUUCUCCUUAUGGGGUUUGGUGGAAAGUUUUUCGGUGUAGGAUGAGCCCGCGGCCUAUCAGCUUGUUGGUGGGGUGAUGGCCUACCAAGGCGACGACGGGUAGCCGGCCUGAGAGGGUGAUCGGCCACAUUGGGACUGAGAUACGGCCCAG
rnacentral:rRNA from 1 species